GGCGUCAGGGCGCUGCGGCUCGGACAGGUCCUCCACGUGGCCCUGGGCCAGCUGCCCGGAGCUGUUGGCCCCCUGACGCACACGACAUUGGUCACGUUACUACCCGUUAAUCGGUAGGGGGUUUGUUUUCGUUACACUUGCUAGAACCAGUUUGCUAACUGUUAAGCUUACGUCAGCAAAAGUGGGACGACGAUAGCGUGGGUCACUCGGCUGGUGGGCCGUCGCUGUCAUCCUUCUGCUUCUCCAUGAUCAUCAGCAUCAGCAUCUUCCUCAGCGUCAAGUAUCCAGAACCAAACCACCACCAUCAGGACAUAAAUAGGUGACUAAGUCUAAAGGUAACAAACUGUUUGACACAAUACUUUAUUUCUUUUUUAUGUUUUAAUACAUAGCCUACUCAUAAUGUAUAUAUUUCUUUACAGUAGAAAAAUAAUGUUUUGAUUUCAAGGGGCACUACAAUUAUUUUCACUUCCAAGAGGAGGUAUUCAAAAUCAUCUCUGUAAAAUAUAAUAAGUGAGGGUGAAUGGACUAAGUCGGUCAAGAAAACAUUCUUAUAACACCAAUUAUCACUUUCACAAUUUUCUUCAUCAGCACACACAAAGGAACAUGAUAAAUACACUGAAAGAAUACAACAAAGGUACAUUUUAUACACAUCACUGAAGUGAGGAAGAUUAAAUAAAUGUGAAGAAGG